CAAUGUUAAACUACAACUAAUAUAUAACUUCCAACAUUAACUUAUACAAGGUUGAUGCUUUUUGGCAUUAUUCUAGACGUUGACUACCUCACAUUUCACUAAUUGUUUUAACAUCAAAUUGAUCAAAUGUUGUAUGUAUUUAAAGAAAAAAAACUUCAAUAUGUCAUUGUGCAAACUGCAAAGACAAUAAUUGACAUGUUUAGCCCCUCUCUUCAA
rnacentral:lncRNA from 1 species